GUGGCUACGGAAUGAUGACUCUGGGUCCACCUCCCACCCGUGUUUAUCGUACCUUGUUGCUUCGGCGGGCCCGCCGCAAGGCCGCCGGGGGGCAUCUGCCCUCUGGCCCGCGCCCGCCGAAGACACCAUUGAACGCUGUCUGAAGAUUGCAGUCUGAGCAAUUAGUUAAAUAACUUAAAACUUUCAACAACGGAUCUCUUGGUUCCGGCAUCGAUGAAGAACGCAGCGAAAUGCGAUACGUAAUGUGAAUUGCAGAAUUCAGUGAAUCAUCGAGUCUUUGAACGCACAUUGCGCCCCCUGGUAUUCCGGGGGGCAUGCCUGUCCGAGCGUCAUUGCUGCCCUCAAGCACGGCUUGUGUGUUGGGCUCCGUCCUCCUUCCGGGGGACGGGCCCGAAAGGCAGCGGCGGCACCGCGUCCGGUCCUCGAGCGUAUGGGGCUUCGUCACCCGCUCUGCAGGCCCGGCCGGCGCUUGCCGACACAUCAAUCUUUUUUCCAGGUUGACCUCGGAUCAGGUAGGGAUACCCGCUGAACUUAAGCAUAUCAAAA
rnacentral:rRNA from 1 species